rnacentral:rRNA from 1 species
UACGGAGGAUCCGAGCGUUAUCCGGAUUUAUUGGGUCUAAAGGGAGCGUAGACGGUAAUGUAAGUCUGGAGUGAAAGGCGGGGGCCCAACCCCCGGACUGCUCUGGAAACUAUGUUACUAGAGUGCAGGAGAGGUAAGCGGAAUUCCUAGUGUAGCGGUGAAAUGCGUAGAUAUUAGGAGGAACACCAGUGGCGAAGGCGGCUUACUUGACUGUAACUGACGUUGAGGCUCGAAAGCGUGGGGAGCAAACAGG